GGGAAAUACAUGGCGUCAGUGGUGCGCAGACUUCAUGGCGUGGGGGGUGUGCACUUAUUUGGAAAGCGGCAGACGCAGACGGCGCCUCGCACUUCAGCAACUACACUGGCAACGUUUAAGGAAACAUUGUUGCUUGCUCUGCAGUACCUGCGGAAGAUAACACGACACUUCGUAGUAUGACAUCUGCUCUGAUGUUCCUUAGGAAGAUAAACUGUGGCGCGAGAUCUGCUUUGCCAUAUGAAUAUACCAUAAACAUCUGGGAAAGUAUUCAUUAAAGUUGAACAUCUGGAAAGAGAAUUGUGAAAAUAAUUAUUUAUGGUGACAAUUUAAGCCAUAUUUUUUCCCGAAUACUGUUUGUCUUUCACCUAAAUAAUAAUAUAUUGUAUUUUUUCUUUGCAGUAUAAUUAAUAAACGGUUAUUUUUUCCUUUCAGGUUAAUAUUUUUCUCAGGAUUUUUUUUUCAGCCACUUUUUUUUAGCAUAUUGUAUUUUCUCCUUUCUCAGCCUAAUGUGUAUUUUCCCUUUGUAAUCUAAUGUAUAUUUUUCCCUUUCAGUCUAAUGUAUAUUUCCCCUUUUCAGCCUAAUGUAUAUUUUCCCUUUUCAGCCUAAUGUAUAUUUUCCCUUUUCAGCCUAAUUUGUUUUCCCUUUUUCAGUCUAAUGCAUUGUUUACCUUUCAGCCUAAUGCAUUAUAUAUUGUAUUUUUUCCUUUACAUCUUAAUGUAUAUUUUUCCUUUUCAGCCUGUGUAUUUUCCCUUUUUAACUAAUGUAUAUUUUCCCUUUUCAAUCUAAUGUAUAUUUUCCCAUUUCAGCCUAAUGUAUAUUUUCCCUUUUCAGCCUAAUUUGUUUUCCCCUUUUCAGUCUAAGGCAUUGUUUACUUUUCAGCCUAAUGCAUUUUCCUUUCAAUCUUAUGUAUUGUUUUUCUUUCAGCUUAAUACUUUUUCAAUCAUAUUUGUUUUAAGCUAAAUAUAUUUUUCUCCCUCUAAAUCAAUAUUUUUUAAAAAUAUUGUUUUCUUACACUCAAAUAUUAUUUUCUGGAUUAAUAAUUAUAC